GACGAACGCUGGCGGCGUGCUUAACACAUGCAAGUCGAACGAUGAAGAAGAGCUUGCUCUUCGGAUUAGUGGCGAACGGGUGAGUAACACGUGACUAACCUGCCCCUUUCUCUGGGAUAACGCUCCGAAAGGAGUGCUAAUACCGGAUACUCCCAUCGAGGCACAUGCCUUGAUGUGGAAAGUUUUUCGGAAAGGGAUGGAGGCGCGGCCUAUCAGCUUGUUGGUGAGGUAACGGCUCACCAAUGCGACGACGGGUAGCCGGCCUGAGAGGGCGACCGGCCACACUGGGACUGAGACACGGCCCAGACUCCUACGGGAGGCAGCAGUGGGGAAUAUUGCACAAUGGGCGAAAGCCUGAUGCAGCGACGCCGCGUGAGGGAUGAAGGUCUUCGGGUUGUAAACCUCUUUCAGUAGGGACGAAGCGAAAGUGACGGUACCUAAAGAAGAAGCACCGGCUAACUACGUGCCAGCCGCCGCGGUAA
rnacentral:rRNA from 1 species